UACGUAGGUGGCAAGCGUUGUCCGGAUUUACUGGGCGUAAAGAGCGCGCAGGCGGCUGGGCAAGUCCGAUGUGAAAGCUUCCGGCUUAACUGGAAAAUUGCAACGGAAACUGCUCGGCUUGAAGGUGGGAGAGGGUAGCGGAAUUCCCGGUGUAGUGGUGAAAUGCGUAGAUAUCGGGAGGAACACCAGUGGCGAAGGCGGCUACCUGGCCCACUCUUGACGCUGAGGCGCGAAAGCUAGGGGAGCAAACGGG
rnacentral:rRNA from 1 species